UUCUCCCGGAGCCGCAUGAUGUCCUCGGCCAGGUUGUCGCGCUCCACCUCGACGCGGGCCUUGUCGUUGGUGAGCUGGUCCACCUGCCGGCGCAGCUCCCGCAUCUCCUCCUCGUAGAGGUCCCCCAGGCGCGACUUGCCCUGGCCCUUGAGCUGCUCGAGCUCGGCCAGCAGGAUCUUGUUCUGCUGCUCCAGGAAGCGCACCUUGUCGAUGUAGUUGGCGAAGCGGUCGUUCAGCUCCUGCAGCUCCACCUUCUCGUUGGUGCGGGUGUUCUUGAACUCGGUGUUGAUGGCAUCGGCCAGCGAGAAGUCCACCGAGUCCUGCAGCAGACGCACACCGGGCACACUGCUCCGCAGGCGCACCGCCGAGGAGCGCGUGGCGUACGGGCCGCCCGGGGACGAGGCGUAGAGGCUGCGGCUGGUGCUGGGGCGCAACGCGCUGCCCAGGCUGUAGGUGCGGGUGGACGUGGUCACGUAGCUCCGGCUGGAGCUCGGCCGGCUGCCGGUGCCGGGGCCGCCGAACAUCCUGCGGUAGGAGGACGAGGACACAGACCUGGUGGACAUGGCUGAGACGGUGGCGGUGGGCUGGGCGGCUGCGGCGGCGCGGACCGGCUCGGGGAGGACAGGCGAGCGAGGGCGCGGUGGGUGUGGGCGGUGGGAGCGCUGCUGCGUCUCUGGCGCGGGGGACCCCGGAGCGAGAGUGGCAGAGGACCGGACCGGGCCGAGGGCGCAGUUUUUAUAACCCGGUUAGGAAAGAGGGUCCCCUCCCACUGCCAUCCCAGCCGCGGAGAGCGCCAGCCAAUGGGGACCCGACGAGAUGCGGGAAGGGUGGGCGGGGGUUGGGGCGGGGGCGCCCUCGAGCCUUCCUCUCCGCCCCUCUGCAGCCCGGGACUGGGCACCUUCCCGUUACUUUUUGGGUGGGCUGGGACUUUCGGGGGCUUUCCUGAUGUUGGCCUGAGCUCUGCUCUCAGUGGGUGCUGAAAAAGGCGGGGUCGCGCGGUGGUAGGGAACCCUGCCCGGGACCGGACCGGAGGGGUCCCCAGGCGCUGGGCCAAAGAGGCCUGGGAGGAGGCGGGCGGGUGGGAGGGGCGCUCCGCUGCAGGCCAGUGUUCUGCUCGGGGCUGGUGGGUGGGGAGACCCGCGGGCAAAGGGGCAGGAAGAGGGGGGGAUCCCGAGGCGUGGAAGGCGCGGAGAAAGGAACAAAGAACGCCUGAGAUUGGAGCGGGCGUUGGGGGCGCGCACAGCCCAGAACACGGAGCUGGGGUCCCGAGCAGGCUUGGCGCACCGCCCGCUUUGGCCCACGAAUCUUUCCAGCCUCUUGUCUUGGGGGUUCCUUAGGUUCAGGGACCUAACGGGCUCGGUGUGGCUUUGGAGGGCGCGAGCUUCGAGGCUGCGGCCGAGGAAAGCCCGAGGGGCGGGGGGGAGGGGGGGCGAGAGGGGUGGGGUCGCUGAGUCACUGGCAGUGAGUCACCGGAGCCCUGCUGCCCGCCGAGGUUGAGGGCUCCUAGCGGUUCGGGAAACCGUUAGACGAGAUUGACUCAAGUCUCCUCGGGCCGCGCACGCCCUGUUGGUUCUAAGUUUUACCCAACUUCUAGUCGGGCCUCCUCUUUGUUAUGUGCGGUUCGCCCGCGAGGAUCCUAGAGCAGCCCUAAGUUGUUAAGAACUCGCGCAAGCCCGAUUUUGCUCCAAAUGCGCGGACUUCCCAUUAGCAGGAAACUUCUUGCAGACCCCAGAGAGCUGCCAAACACCGGUCUCUGGCAUCACGAACGCCCUCGGGGAAGGGUUUUCUUGCAAAGUUCCCUCCCACCCUUCCCUCUGGGCUCCCCUCGGUGCCCCCACCCCCACCCCCGUGAAACCACACCCGAGUUUUAACAAGAUCUGAAAGUUCUGGGUGAAAGAGGAAACCCGGCGUCCGUCCGUAGUUUCAAAAUCAAAUUGAGAGAUCAUUGGUUUUUCUGCUAUAGUGGAAGUCAUUAAAGGCAUAAUCUGUGCCAAUUAUAGAAUUAAUUAGGUGUUGCUUUAAAGCUCCGACCUGAUUAAUGAAAGGCAAUUAUAUAACUCAAAUGACAGAAUGUUUGGGGGAAAUAGAUUUAUGUGUUCAUUUUGGUUCAGCGAGGCACAUUGCGGGAUUCUGGGGACUUGUCUGGGAAAUGUCACCGGUCCUUUUGGCCUAUUUUCCAAGAAUUAGUGCAAUUGGUCUUCCAGUGAGGGAGAUAAAACUGUCUACAGAGCAAACAGAGCAAAAACCUUCUGGUCCAGGGCACCAGGGAGUGUCAAAUUCCGCCGCCCAAAUCUUUCUAGGUAAAGGGCCAUGGUUGCGGUAUUAGUAAAUGCAGAAUACAGUGCUUACCCCCAAAGGGAGAUGAAGGGAGGAAAGGCCCGACAGUCUUACUGUGGUUAAUUAAGCAGCAAUUGAAACAUCAUGGAAUUUUGUUGUGGUUGUUGUUGUGUGUUUAGAGGACACAUUGAGUACCAGAUGGAUUCACUGCAAAACCACCGUAAAAGUCUAUAGUGGAUAGUUUGGAGAAAAAUGGUAAAAUCCUUCCCCCUUUUUCUGGGGGGAGUGGGAGGGUGGGUGAAGGCUAUGGGUGUGGUACUGGAGGUUACCCGGCAUUUAAGAAAAAUAGUUUGGGACCAAAUUAAGGGUUUAUCCCAGCUUCUCUGUACAAGCCUCUGCUAGGUAAUAUUUUGUUGACCUCAUUUCAGAGAGCUCUGGCAAGUGGCACGGCCAAGGUCAAGGUGCAGGACCUUUGCUGCAUAGCUCCCCUGCUGUGGGUUUCCUUUAUUCUUGCUCCAUGAGAGCUCUUGAUCCAAGCCAUUGCUCAGCAAAUGUCACCAUUGUGAGUGCGCCUGGCAUUUUUAGGAUGAGAAAAAAGCCAUCUCCACAGGGGAGGAGGCGAGGGUGGGCCCUACUCCCACCUAAAAUGCUGAUCCCAGGGCAAUGAGGUGGUGCUGCUUGCUGACUGAGUCACCAUGGAAAAUGAGGGCAAGGCUCUGGUGUGGUGUGGCACGGUGCCCUGUCGGUGACCACAGCAAAUUCCUCGGGGUUAUGGUGACUUCCUCUGGGGUGGACUCUGGCCUUCCUCACCAUUUCUAGGGUACCCCUUCUCCUUUCUAACCCGUCCGCGAUCUGUAUUCGCGGGCAGGACCGUGGUAUGUUCUCUGGCUGUUUUAGCUCAGGCGCUAUAACAAAAUACCGUAGACAGUGUGGCUUAACCAACAAGCGUUCAUUUCUCACAGUUCUGGAGGCAGGAAGUCCGAGAUCAAAGUGCCAGCAGAUUCGGUGUCUGAUAAGGACCUGCUUUCUCCUGUGCAGAGAGCUGCCUUCUUGCUGUGUCGUCAUGUGGCGAAGCCAAGACAAACUGUGGUCUCUUCCACUUCUUAAAAGGGCACUAAUCCCAUAAUGGGGGCUCCACCAUCAACACCUCAUCUAAACCUAAUUACCUCCCAAAGGCUCUGUCUCCAUAUAGGGUUGCAUUGGAGAUGAGGGCACAAACUAUCCAUCCGUGGCAUUUGGCAUAGAUUGGCAUAGAAUGCACACACACACACACACACACACACACACACACACAGAUAUGCAAUAUCCAGUAUGUCCUUCCUAUUAGAAAUUGCCAUAGUUAGCGGUGGACUGUAGGGCGUGGAAAAGUGGAGAUUACAAAAACACUUUAAUCGUUCACGUAGAACGCGUGAGACUUAGAGAAUCAACUUCAUUCAGAGAUACGUGUGCCUCGUGCAGUGCCUCAGCCAGUGGGUCAGUCAUCCGUGUGGGUGAUCCCUCUGUCUGAACCACCUUUCUCAAGGGUGACAAGUAAUCCUGCUAUCUCUGCACCCCGCGUUCCCAGUCACCUUUUGGAAGUAAACAGUAUGCAGACGUAGCUUUCUCACUUCGUAUGUGUUUUCUGAGGGCCACGCCAGCCUCUCUCAGCGGUGUGUUCAAAUGCCAGACCGUGAAGCUGCUUCAAACAUGGUGCCGGUCGUGGAUAAAGAAGGACACCGCCGUAGAACUUGUAGACCAGGCGUAAACAUGACCAAAUCUAAAGCACUCACAGCGAUUUUGGAAUUUGCAAGCUGUGGUGAUGUCAGUUGAGUUGGGGCGAUUUGAACUGACGGACCAGCCAGCCAUGUGCAGACGGGCUUAGGGCCCGUGGGGGCUUUCGGAAAGCUGGCUGGCGGGAGGCCACGCCAGGAGGACAGCCGCUAGCAGGAUCGCCUGCAUGGAAUGUGAGAAGCGAGAAGGUGGAUAAAGCGAGCCGUGAGAAACCUGGCAACGCCAAGAAGGCGUGGUAACAAAGAUAAUAAUACUCAAUGUCAUCAGCGCUUUAAUUUUUGUGCCUGCUGGGUGAUGGGAACUUUGCAAGCAUUUUACUUAAUGCUCUCUCAGCCUCUUGCAAGGUGGGUUUGAUUGUGCAUUUUGCAGCUGAGGAGUCUGAGAGGCGGGCUAACAAUUUGCUCAUGGCCCCGUGACUAAGAGAGGAGGGAGAGAGGGGGCAAGACUUCCUCCUGGGGCCUUUCAGACUCCAAAUGCACUUUUCUUUUCUCUCCGCCUUCCUCGAGGGUGAGAUCUUGCUUACUAUCAAGCAAUCCAAUUCACACAUAUUAUUUAGGGCCUUUCUGCAUUCCAGGAACUGAAGAGGCAGGUUAAUUAUCAGAUUACUCUGUGAAGUAGCAGGACUCGGAAAGGAGCUUGGCAGGUGCUGAGACUAUGAUGCUUUCUGUUAUUCAGGGGAUGGAACAGUGGUUCCUAGUAGAUACGAAGGGAGUUUGGUUUUCACUCGCUCCCUAGAUCGUUAAUUUUGAGAGUUAAACAUUUUCACCUCGAUUUCUUUCCAUCUUUCCAUCUCUUCAAAGCAUCAUAUCCAAAAGCAGACACAGCUCGUCUCACACCCUUGAAACCCCCCAACCCCAACGGCUUCCCCUCCUAACUUCCCAGUCCAGGGCAACAUGGCACGUUACCCAGAUUGGAAACCGUCAUCACCAUGGCCACUGCUUACUCUUAGGUCACUCGGAUCCAGGGGGCGUCCUGGCUUUUUGUUUCCUGUAUCCACUCCUCAGUUUUGUGGCCGUCACUCAUCCGAGUCAUUUUGUGUCUCACCCCUGCGAUGCUGGAAUUGUCUGUCCUCCCCCCAGGCUCUGCGCGCCCCUCCCAACGUGUCUGUCUUCGAGCCACAACCUCUUCUUAAUAACUACAUUCUCAAGACUCCCUGAAGACCCAAAGUGAAUCACUCGUUCCUUCAUUAGAAUGCCCUCCAUGAGGGCAGAGAUUUUUCUCUCUUUGGUUCACUAGCCUAUCUUCAGUGCCUAGAGAAGCCUGGAGCAUUUGUUGAGUGCAUGGAUUAACGCAUGAGCCAUUCACAGAAGAGGGAAGGAAGGAAAGAAGGGAGAGACGAGGCUAAUAUUGUAGUGUUCUAUUCAAUGUUCUAGUUCUAGUAUUCUAUUCAAUGUUCUAGUAUUCUAUUCAAUGUUCAAGCAUUGUGCUAGUGACUUUACGUGUGACUGUAUUUAAUCUCUACAGUGUAUUAUGAUCCACAGAUUUCAUCCACUUUCUCAAAAUACAUUUAUUGAAUAUUUACCAUGUGCCGGGGGCUCCACUCGACACUGAGGAAAGUGAGCAAGGCAGGUGCAAUGCAGGCCCCCUUGGUUGGGAUGUAGACUUGAGUUGUGUGGGCACAUACGUGACCCAGAGAUGCAAUACUCAGGUAAAGGGACAAAGGAAGGAAUUACAGUUUGUAAUAAAGAUGACAAAGGAAACAGAAGUCUUGCUGCAAAGGAGGUUGAGGCUUGGGGCACCUGGGUGGCUCAAUAAGGUCAGCGUCUAACCUCGGCUCAGGUCAUGGUCUCACCUGAGGUUCAUGAGUUCGAGUCCCGCAUCAGGCUCUCUGCUGUUGGCAUGGAGCCUGCUUCAGAUCCUCUGUUCCUCCUCUCUCUGCCCCUGCCCCACUUGUGCUCUCUCUCUCUCUCUCUCUCAAAAAUAAAUAAAACCUUUUUAAAGGAAGAGGUUGAGGCUCAUAACAUUCAACUGUGUCCUUGGAAAGCCAUGCCCGGUGUGAACAUCCAUCCUUCUUUCCACUGCUCCUCCCCGGACAGCAGUUUCAGGGGGGCCCUAAGCUGCUCUCUGUUCCACGAAUAUACCACAUUUCCCCAUGCUCAGACCUUUUCUCAGAUUCCAUUCAACAGACAGGUGUCCUCAUUUUCUACACUUUCUGCAAUGCUUGUUAGUUCAGGUCAGUAAGAAAGUGCCUGUGGCUCCAGGAAGCUCCUAGACUUGUAAAAGGAUUAGGAACCACAUAAAGAUCUGUAAUGCAGAGUGGAAUGUGGUGAGUGCUCCCAUAGAGAUAGGAAUGAAAUACUAGGGGCUUCAGGAGGAACGAUCAUAUCCCCUUGGGGGAGACCAGAAAAUAUAUUUAGAAAAGGUGGUAUUUGAAGAAUGGGUACAAUUUUUAUAGCUUAUCGUGGUAGAGAAAGAAUGUUCGAAACUGAUGAACCCCACUAAGAAAAAAUCGCAUAGAGGGCAGGGUUUCGGGGGGGCAUUGAGGGAAGACUAGAAUCCCAGUAUGGCCCGACUGUGGAGCUGUUGUAGGGGAGAAAGGGCAUCAAAAGCUAAUACGGGACCGUGCGUUGGAGGACGAAAUGCCAGAGAGAGAGGAGUUUAUAAUUAAUGUGGUGGGCAGUGAGAAUUCACUGCCAUUUGUGUCUGGGAGAAAGGCAUGCUUGUGGCUGUGCUUUAGGAAGAAGACUGUUGUGGCAUCUGGGGGAUGAAUCGAGGAGACUGAUUUGAGGGCUGUUUGCCGUAGAUCAGGUGCAUGGUAAAAGGAGCCUACCCUUGAAGGGGGAGAGGCGGGUGUCCUGUGAUGGCACAGGGGGAUGAUUGUUCCAGACCAUGAAGUUAGAGAGAAGACAUGCUUGUCAAAGGGCUCAGAACUUUCUGGACAGGAACUGAGAGAAUGGAUGCGGUAUACACAGAAGAAAAAAGAUGUGGUGGGAAAUUAAUCUCAGGUGAAAGAGAACUCACUUGUAUCCUCUUACCUGGAAGUAUCUUCCCUUCUGUAGUUGAUGUAAAGUAAAACCCCAUGGGCACCUGGGUGGCUCCGUUGGUUAAGCGUCUGACUCUUGAUCUUGGCUCAAGUCGUGAUCUCACGGUUCGUGAGACUGAGCCCCUUGUCAGCCUCUGUGCUGCUUGGGAUUCUCUCUCUCUCCCUCUCUCUGCCCUUCCACUGCUCUCUCUCUCUCUCUCUCUCUCUCUCUCUCUCUCAAAAUAAACUUUAUUUAUUUUAAAAAAAAAAAAUUUUAACAUUUGUUUAUUGCUGAGAGGCAGAGAGAGACAGAGCAGGAGAAGGGGACGGGCAGAGAGAGAGGGAGACACAGCAUCCGAAGCAGGCUCCAGGCUCUGAACUGUCGGCACAGAGCCCGACGCGGGGCUUGAACUCACGGACCGCGAGAUCAUGACCUGAGCCGAAGUCGGACGCUUAACCGAGUGAGCGACCCAGGUGCCCCUAAAUAAAUAAACUUUAAAAAACAAUAACAUAAAACCACAGGAGGAAGGUGAGAUAUAAGCUGGAUCAUGCCGUUUUACCCUUUAUGGCCCUUCUAGCCUGUUCAUAUGAGUUAAUAUCAAUUACCUUAUAUUGUUCCUUAUCUGAUUUGAGUAUGUUGGUCUGGUUUCCACAGAUUUGUAAACUUGGGGACUUCUUUAGUACCCUCUAGAACAGUUUCUAAAGUUCAGAGAAAAAGCUUUAAGACACAUUCCUAGAAAUCUUUCUGAAUCUUUUUGGGGGAAAUAAAAGCAGAUCAUAGUCUCCCCCUAGAACUAUUUAUUACUUACAGCUUCAUCAAAAUCUAAUGUACAGUCUGUGAUGAAGGAGACAGAAAGUGGUGAGUAUGUAGGAGGGAGAGAAAGACAUUAAUUAACAGAUGGAGGGAAAACCUAGUGCAAAAAACUCAAGUUGAUGUGAGACAAAUGCGUGAAGCUAGAUUUUCCGUAUUGCUUCACUGGAUCCAAAAUACAGAAUGAAACCAGCCCAGUUAUAAAAACCAGACCUUAUUUGAAAGAGACCUAAAUGAUACUGUCAGAGUUUAGUUAUUGGCCAAGUGAGACUACCUGAAAACAAGCAGUAUUCGCUUGUGGCCUGUAAUAAUGUUUUUCCCAUGUUUUGGGAUAGAGAAGGUCUUAUCACCACCAGAACAUUUGCCAAGCGCAUUGACAUCUUGGGAAGUCAUUCUGCCUAUUUUGAGGUCACCUAGUUCCUGAGGGGCGGAAGUUUUUUUUUUCAGGAGAUAUUUCAUUAAUGGUCUAAUGAUAGUAACAGUUCAAUAGCACCGUUUUCUUUUCAAGAACUGAAAAAAAUUUUUUUCAAGUUCUGAUUUGUCUUUGUGGUAACCUGUGAGGUUGGAACAGAAGUAUAUUGAUUAUCUGGGUAGCCACAAUGUCUUUCCUGUAUAUUUGAGACCAAUCAAAGAACUCUGUCCCACUUAUCUCAAAACUGACUGAUUAAUUGACCAAUCCUUCCAAAAAUGUGGAGAUGUUUUAUUUCUGGCAUAUCACAUUCACUUUGCCAGCAAAAUUAUUUUCUUCAGAAACAAUGACUAUUGCAUUUACUUUUAGAUAUGUUUGAUAAACUCAGUGUUUAAAAUAUGCCCCAUAAAACACUGGUCUCUACGUGUGCUGACAAAGAUCAUUAUGAUUUAUAGAGAUUAGAAAUGAAAGUCAAAAGACAAAGUAACAGAAAAACAGUAAACACAUAAAUCAAAGUAACCCUAAAUGCAAAUGGAAGGAAAUAUAAGAUGGCAUAAUGAUAAGACUAUGUAAGGCAAAAGAUUAAGAAAACCCAUUAAAUUUAUGACAAAUAACUAAGAAAGACCAUUUUGAGUUGACAGCUUUCUCCAUAAUUCUACUGCAAUGGUUUCCAAAAUAUUGAGUAAAAUUUCGUAUUUCUGAUUAGCUAAGUACUGGAAACAUGCCCUCUAAUGGGACACAUGUGGAUAUAUGGAAUAAGUACAAAAAUAUUAUGGAAUUUGAGCUUAAUAUAGAUUAAAUAUGUUUUCGUUAUAUCAUAAAUCAUGAAAAAUACAGAAUUGUAAUUUCUUCAUCUGUCAUCUCCAGAACUUCGGGAGUUUUGACAUGUGUGAGCAGAAUAUAGUGCAGAGAGAUUUACAUGUCAGGAUCACAGUUUUUGUUUUGCUGACUCUGGAUUGUUUUUCACAGUUCUUGACUCGUGGACUCUAAACAAUGAUAAUAAUAACCAGACAUACCAUGAUAUCAUUACUAAAAUUGGAGUCUGGCCCAGAUUGGAAAACUAAUGGUAAUCAUGAGACCUUGCUUAUUUUGAGUGCCUACUGUAUGCCAAGUGUAAACUUAUUUGCCAUGUAUAAACUUACGGAAUCCUCUCAACAGCCCUACUAUACAUAUGAAGAAACUGAGACACGGAGACGUUAAGUAACUUACUCAAGCUCACACAGCCAGGAAGUGGCAGACCUGGGAUUUGAACCCAGGACUUCUGGCUCCAGAUCCCACACUCUAAACUUCACUGUAAGGCAGUACCUCACACACUGUGGUAUUUUUGCACUACAGUUGGUGAUGUGCCCAAGACCCUUCGCGUUCUUUUCAUGUUAUCUGUCCUAUCUCUUUGGAUUUCUUUUGUUCCUGUUCUGAUGCAGCAACAGAACACUUUUUGAUUCAGAGAAUAUGGUGCCCUUAAUGAAUCAUCAGGAUGUCCAUGGACAUUUUCAGGGACUUUCUGUGGAGAUCUCAGUUUUUAGUUCUGAGUCAGCCUACUAGAAUGAUUUGAUAGUUAUGGCGUAUGACUCCUGCAUACAAUUACAAGAAUGAAAAUCCUCAACCACAUCGCUGGUGGAGAAGAAAUGAACCAACGUUUUUGGAACACGUAGCCUCUGUAAGUAAGAGCAUCUUUGACUUACUGUCUUGUUGGUUUGAAUUUUAGGGAGAUUUAUUAACGUUUGGGGUACUAACAUUGCAUAGGCCAAGAAUAAUGGGAGAGUUUUGAAAUAUGGGAGAUUCAGUGAUUACCUGACAACCAAGAUUCUCAAGGCCAGACUAAACAGUGUUACUGAGGAUACAUAUAAGCUUACUAGCCAGGUAAAACAUUUCUUGCGCAAUAAUAAUCUUAUCGCUUUUGCGUAUCAGGUUUUUCCAAGUAAUGCUCAUCAGCAUCAGUUCUUUUAAAAUAGAGCAUCCUUAAAGCAUCACACAUGUACAAGGGCAAGAGCAAGAGAGUCCCAUUGUAGAAUGCAUGUGAGUAUUAUAAACCAGAUGAAAUCUUAACUCCGUAGUGGCACAGUUACUUUAAUAGAUUGGAUUAUUCUGAAGACAACCAGUGACCCUCUUCCUUCCAUGUAUUUGAGUCCUAGUAUGUGCCAGAAUCCCCGUUAUGUGCAAAGGACACAGAAAUGAAUAAAACACCUUCCUUGCACGCAGGGGGCACCCAAAAUACUUCUCUCUUCUCUGCUCAAUCUUUUUCUCUCUCAGUUUUGCAUGAUUGUGCUGCCACAUUGAGAUCUAGUUCAGCCGUUUCAUAAUGCCCCCACCCAAGGUUCAAAGUGCUUUGGUGAAAUAACAUCGACUUUUACCCUGAAAUCCAUGGAAAUAUGAAGUUUACUGUUUUGUUCUCCCUGAUAAGAGAUAGCAUAAUAACUAGUUGCCGGGUGACUGCAUAAAACACAGGCCCCAAAUGCAGCCGGUGAAGAGCAGUUAGCAAUUAAGUAAAGGAAAUGACUGGUGGGUUUGAAACUCAACACACUGCCCAUGUACUUGUUAGCGUAGGGAGGCCUCUGGGUUGCUCUGACAACUUUUAUCACUAAGGAAAUAGUUUUGGUGACUCAUGCUCGUACAGAACGACUUCUUUCAAAAUCUGUGUUUUCGGUGACCUUACCAUUAUGCUUCUGUUUUCCUUUUUCUUUGGACGGGGACAGAAAAAGCUUCAUUUGGAUGGCAUGGGUUUAUUACUCAGUAGCAUAUUAUUCGCUGGCUGGCUCAUGUUUUGAAAUUUAACGGACUCAGUGGUGAUCAGAGUAAAAG
rnacentral:lncRNA from 1 species